rnacentral:rRNA from 1 species
CAGUCGCCGCGGGAAUACAGAGGGUGCGAGCGUUAAUCGGAUUUACUGGGCGUAAAGCGCACGCAGGCGGUCUGUCAAGUCAGAUGUGAAAUCCCCGGGCUUAACCUGGGAACUGCAUUUGAAACUGGCAGGCUAGAGUCUUGUAGAGGGGGGUAGAAUUCCAGGUGUAGCGGUGAAAUGCGUAGAGAUCUGGAGGAAUACCGGUGGCGAAGGCGGCCCCCUGGACAAAGACUGACGCUCAGGUGCGAAAGCGUGGGGAGCAAACAGGAUUAGAUACCCCAGUAGUCCCUGUCUCUUAUAA